rnacentral:rRNA from 1 species
UUCAAUGAUGAGUACCACCCUGAACAUGCUCGAUCUCAUCUGAUCUCGGAAGCUAAGCAGGGUCGGGCCUGGUUAGUACUUGGAUGGGCUUUUCACGCAGUCAACGCCGUCAUUAAGC